rnacentral:rRNA from 1 species
ACUCAAAUGAAUUGACGGAAGCUCGCACAAGCGGUGGAGCAUGUGGUUUAAUUCGAUAUAACGCGAGUAAUCUUACCAGAUCUUGUAUGUUUUUAAAUUUUACGUAAAGUAAAAAUAUGCAAUUUAUGUUCAUAGAAAACACAGGUGCUGCAUGGCUGUCGUCAGUUCGUGUUGUGAGAUGUUUGGUUUGUUCCAAAAACGAACGUAAUUCCCAGGCUAUGUUAAGAUAAAAUAUAAAAAAUUUCACUUCAAUCAUAUGUCAACUGCCGCAGAAAUGCGGAGGAAGGUGGGGAAGAUGUCAAGUCAGUAUGGCCUUUAUGAUCUGGGCUACACACGUGCUACAAUGGUUUUUACAGUGAGAAGCGAGAGAGUGAUCUUUAGCAAAUCUCAGAAAGGAAAUCUUAGUUCGAAUUGUUCCUUGUAAUUCAGGAACAUGAAGUUGGAAUCGCUAGUAAUCGUGGAUUAGAACGUUACGGUGAAUAUGUUCUCGAGCUUAGUACACACCGCCCGU